UCGAUUUUCAGUCAGGGAUGAGCGUGAUCACCGGGGAAACCGGUGCGGGGAAAUCGAUUGCGAUUGAUGCCCUCGGUUUAUGUCUGGGAAAUCGUUC
rnacentral:tRNA from 1 species